CGACUAGAUGAAUUCUUGAACCAGGUAAAUUGUUAAGGUUACUUUUUAUAAUACAUAAAUGAUGGCUGACAGCCUAUCUUAUUGCUGGCCUUUUGUGCUCUCUUUGAGAAAAAGAAGUUAUUUAUAGACUUAUGCUUCUCGUACAAGGGAAGGGGGAAAAAGUUAAUUUCCUGGAAAAGCGAAAGGGAAAGGCAGGGCGUUUUUUUCUUUUUGGGUGGGUGGGGAGGUGUUAACACUUGGUCCUUGCUCUUUUGAAAUUAGCAACUGUAGUCCUUGUGUUGUUACAAUAUAAAACAUCUCAUUCCCUCAAAAUCUUUUAUUUUCUUUUACGGUAUCACGGACUAAAAUUGCUAAAUUUGAAAUAUUAGGGACCAAAGUAUAUUUUAAGGAAAAUCUUCCAAAAAAGUAAAGACAAGGUUAUCUAGUUGCAGUGUAUAUUCUGUCAAUGGUUUAUAUGGUUUCUUGGUGUGUGCAACAUUUUAGACAUUAUUAGGCUGGCAGGGGAAAAAAUUGAAGCCUAACAUUGGUAUCUUUUUGACUGGUGCUGCAAAUUGAGAAAUAGAUUGUAUCAACUGAUCUCAACAUAUUAUUUCCACUUCAUUAUUGAUUGUUGCCUUCCUGAAUGUGUUGUAAUCCGUUUCAAAAAGUUGAUAAGAGAGAACUUUUUCCCAAACAAUGUUAUCACUCCAAGAUUAACAUUAUAGGUUUUAUUCAUUAGUGCUUGCAAAUUAAUGAGAUUCAAUCUUCUGGUUUUGUGGUUUUAUUGUGACAAGCUGCUUUAUAGAGUUUUUAUACAGAAACGUGGGUAUAUUAUACACAGGCAUUGCCCAAAGCUUGGGGUAGUAGUAUGUAAAAUUUGAAGGUAAUACAUCUACUUAUUGAAUAGUUAAUCCAGUUAUCCAGAGUUACAGUGGGAUUAUUUUUUGCCAAGCUCUUUCUGAUAUUGUUAUAGGAUGAAAUGUUUGAUAGGCCCUACAAACCUAAUAUAGUAUUAUUUAUAAAAAAGAAUUUCUUGUAAUGAUGGUAAUUAACUCAACUCAACAAAGCCUUUAUCUCAAAAAUUAUUGGGGUCAGCUAUAGUAAUUUGAUUAGUUUAGGUUUUAUUUCCUUGAAUUAAUUCCUACAGUUUUUGGUAUUCCUACCCUAGCUUAGUCAAUUUAUCCAAGUAUAACUAGGUUACUACUCUUGUAAAUACGUAUUUUAUGUACUUGGCAGAGAGGGGAUGGUGAAAUUAAAUAAAAUUUCAUUUCUUUUACACUUUGGUGGACUCCUUUUGGAUUCAAAGAUGUUUGAGGGUUAUAUGUAUUCUUCCUUUGUUUAGCCCUUCCAUUCUUCAUUAAUGAUACACAUGGUAUAUUUAUAUUGUUGGAGGAACUUAAAACUGUGUAUAUAUCUGUUUAGCUAUGACAUGCAAUUCACAGCUGCAUUCACAACUGUUCUCUGCACUGCGCUUGUCACUGCACGUGAAAUUUCCUUUUGUUUCCAACAUGGACAAAGGUUAUUGAUCUUUUCUAGUUCUGGCUUGGUAAAAAAAAUAUGGAUUUUGUUAAGCAGACUACUGGCAUUACCUUAUCAAUUGAAUGGAAAUAUAAUUAAAACAGCUUUUUAAUCAAUGAAAACUACAAUUUUGAAUGCAGUUUGUUUAAGCUUUUUUAGAAUUUUUAUCACUAAACCAUGUCAAAUUUACCUUGUUUUUAUUAUCAUAAUUGACACUACAACAUAUUCAAGUUAGUACUUGACAAAUAUCAUUUCAAAGCCUAACAAACCAUAAUGGUAGGACAUCUGAGACAAUUUUCUCAUUAUUUAGAAAAACCAAUGAUUUCUGAUGUUUCCUGUUUUCUGUUUUUUCCAUUGGGACAUUUCUUGUUAGUAAUUUCCCUAUUUGAUUAUUUCUUGAUGCUGAAAUGAUACAUAUUAAAUUGCGGAAAUUAUGGGUUGAUAUUAUGUUGUCUGUGUGAUACCCGUGUGAAUAUCUGAAAAGCUAACCUUAUUGGGUCAUGGACAGAUUGUUCUUCCUGUUGAGACAUGAAAUUGAUUUGCUAAUGUAUUUCUUGCUAAUUUUCAUGGAAUUAAUUCCAAGUAAUAAUUAAUUACAUCAGGGAAAUUGAAGAAACUGUAGGAUUAUUUUUGGGAUAUAUCUAAUUGCCUUGUCUUCUUCUAGCUGUGUGCGGCUGCUCAAGCUG
rnacentral:misc_RNA from 1 species